rnacentral:rRNA from 1 species
GUGGGGAAUAUUGGGCAAUGGGCGAAAGCCUGACCCAGCAACGCCGCGUGAAGGAAGAAGGUUUUCGGAUCGUAAACUUCUAUCCUUGGUGAAGAUAAUGACGGUAGCCAAGAAGGAAGCCCCGGCUAACUACAUGCCAGCAGCCGCGGUAAUACGUAGGGGGCAAGCGUUGUCCGGAAUGAUUGGGCGUAAAGGGCGCGUAGGCGGCCCGGUAAGUCUGAAGUGAAAGUCCUGCUUUUAAGGUGGGAAUUGCUUUGGAUACUGUCGGGCUUGAGUGCAGGAGAGGUAAGCGGAAUUCCCGGUGUAGCGGUGAAAUGCGUAGAGAUCGGGAGGAACACCAGUGGCGAAGGCGGCUUACUGGACUGUAACUGACGCUGAGGCGCGAAAGUGUGGGGAGCAAACAGGAUUAGAAACCCCAGUAGUCC